GCACAGUGAUGGCCUUUAUGCGUCUGAUA
rnacentral:sRNA from 1 species